GGUGGAAGCAAGCAGAGCUGAGUUCGAAUCCCGCCUCCAGCACCUGCAGAUCACUCUGACCCUGUUUCCUCCUCCAUACAGCUGGGCUGAACCACCAAGCCCAGUGUUGACCUUCUCAGGGUGGAAGAGAUCCUGGCGGACGCUGGGAAGAUAUGCUGCUGUGAGAAUCUACCAGACAAAAGGAACCCAAUGGGUCUUUGGCCUUGGAUGGAACUAUACCAUCGGCUCUCCUGGAUCUUCAACUUGCUGACUGCAGAUCUUGGAACUGCCCAGCCUUCAUCUUCAUGUAUCUCACAGCCUUCUGGGCUCGGGAUCGCCGGAC